UACGAAGGGGGCUAGCGUUGCUCGGAAUCACUGGGCGUAAAGCGCACGUAGGCGGCUUUCUAAGUCAGGGGUGAAAUCCUGGAGCUCAACUCCAGAACUGCCUUUGAUACUGGAAAGCUCGAGUCCGGGAGAGGUGAGUGGAACUGCGAGUGUAGAGGUGAAAUUCGUAGAUAUUCGCAAGAACACCAGUGGCGAAGGCGGCUCACUGGCCCGGUACUGACGCUGAGGUGCGAAAGCGUGGGAGCAAACAGG
rnacentral:rRNA from 1 species